AGCAUGCAUCCAUCAUCCAUGCACGGGCCGGCUCCACUAAAUCAGGUUGUGUGACCUGCUCUGCGAACAAGUAUAAAAGGGAACUACACUACAAGGAUUGCUCUAGAACAAAGCAAGGGAUAUGAAUCUUAAAAAAGAAAAAGAAAACAUGUAAACCAGAUAAGAACAUCAUCAUAACAAACACGUGAGUGGUACCAACAUUACAGCAAACGCACAAGGAAAAGCCUAAUUUAUUGUGGUUGAAGCUGCUGAAUC
rnacentral:lncRNA from 1 species